UAAAUUCAUUUGAAGCAGUUGUAAGUGAACUGUAAUUUUGACAGUUGAGUUAACUAUUUACAAGCAAUUAAACAAUCCACUAACACAUUUUGUUACGCCACUGCCCCGAAACCGGUCUUUAUAUGUGAACAAUUAGGCUCCGCCCUGGUGUGUGCUUACCUAAUUUACUCCACUAUAAAUCGUAGAGUCAUGGUAAUGACAGAACGUCCACGGUGGUAGGAGUGCGCAGAGACGAAAACUCGUGGCGGACGAGUCCAUUAGUAGAUUCGGGGGUUUUGUUAUCGAGCAUUGGCGUGGCGUGUAUUUUUGUGUAUAAAGAAUUCAUUGUAAUUUUUAACAAUGCAUCGUUAACAUUUAUGGUAAAGAUAUCAUUAGCUAUCCUUUUUGUACUAAACGUGUUUUUACUCGUUACUCAUUGUGUUUUUGUUAUUUAUUGGAGAUUUUUGCUUUGUAUUUAAACAGGGUGAUUUCUUAAAAACGCACCACCUUGAAUAUCUCCGAAAAUAAACAAAAAAUUAAAAACCCCGAGAGAGGUCAAUUUGUAUUUAAAGGAAGGCACCCUUUACUGUACUUUUAAAAAUUGUAGCACCAGUCCCUUUUGUAAUACAAACAACUCCUUCAGAAUUUUAAAUGGCAUCACCCCUUGUGUGAUACUUCAGAUGAAAUGUACAGUACUCCAAGCGAAAUAGUAAAGAUUGACUAAUUGCAACAAUACACUUGGGAACAGAAAAUGAUUAGUGUACAGUAAAAUGCAAAUUAGGGUUUCUUUGGGUAAAGAUGUUUGUUGCUCACUUCGUCUCACGUUUCAAAACAAAUGUUGUUAUGAACAGAUAUGGGGCCUUAGCAGGUAAAGAGUAAAAUAGGUACCAAGUCUGAAAUCCAUUAAUCUACCAAAAUUUACUUAACUUUCUAAAAUUACCAACAUUGGUCCUUCUGAAAAAUAUCAGUUACUAACAAGUUUUCGUACGGGACAGUUGUUAUAGUUUGCAAAAUGCGGAGACGUUGGAACAGUGACGAGCCGAUUGACUUUAAUAUUGAUAACAAUGUGAUUAAUCAAGAAAUGGUACCUAUUGACGAUGAACAACUUCAAUUAGGAGAUUAUGAUUCGGCCAAUUCAAAACAAACAAAAAGGAAGCAUUUGUCUGACGAUGCAAAAAGUUUGGUUAAUACUUUAUAUAAGAAUUAAUUAGAACGAAAAUUUAAAACCCCUAUAAAAUUUACGGCCGAUCUACUUAAAUUAUCACAAUCCACAAUACAUAAAAUAAUUAACCAAGAGAAAGAAAAUUUUGGAAGGAAGAAAUAUUCACGCGCUUCAGUUUUUGAAACAAUACAUGAAAGUGAAAUUGAUGAAAUAAAAUAUACAGUGUAUCCAAUGUAGGUAUAAAGAAAAUAAUGUACCUACAACUGAGGCAAUUAAAAAAAGACUAAUGGAAGGACAAAUUCUGAUUAAUUAUUCAGAAGCAACUUUAAGAAAAAAUUUACGCCACAUCGGGUUUACUUACAAAAAACUUAACAAAAGGAUUAGUGUGAUGAUUCGACGAAAAGCGGAAAAAAUAGAUUAUGUGUUGUGGAGAAAUUGUAUCCGUCACGUAAUUAGUGUAGAAGACAGUUUUUUAAUUACACGAGAUUUUCCUUAAUUUAUUAUUAAUCUUAAUGACGACGACGAUGACGACAACGAUGCUGUUUUUGGGAUAGAUCUGUAAUUGUUUUCAUAAAUUUUUAUUGUAUAGGUAAUUUAUUGUAAAUUAAUUAUAUAUAUAUAAAAUAAAUAUAUCUAAUUAA